rnacentral:rRNA from 1 species
AUUGAACGCUGGCGGCAGGCCUAACACAUGCAAGUCGAGCGGUUGAGGUAGCUCGCUACCGAUGCAGCGGCGAACGGGUGAGUAAUACAUGGGAAUCUGCCUGGUAGUGGGGGACAACGUUUCGAAAGGAACGCUAAUACCGCAUACGCCCUACGGGGGAAAGGGGGGGAUCGCAAGACCUCCCGCUAUCAGAUGAGCCC